rnacentral:rRNA from 1 species
AACGAACGCUGGCGGCGUGGAUAAGACAUGCAAGUCGAACGAUCACUAUUGGGUAGCAAUAUUUGGUAGUGGGAGUGGCGCAAGGGCGCGUAACACGUGGGUAAUUUGCCGUAAAGUCUGGGAUAACUUGCUGAAAGGCGAGCUAAUACCGGAUGUGAUUGCUGGGGGGCAUCCUCUGGCACUUAAAGUCGGGGACCGUAAGGCCUGACACUUUUUCGAUAAGCCCGCGGCCUAUCAGCUAGUUGGUGAAGUAACGGCUCACCAAGGCUAAGACGGGUAGCUGGUCUGAGAGGACGACCAGCCACACUGGAACUGAGACACGGUCCAGACACCUACGGGUGGCAGCAGUCGAGAAUUUUUCUCAAUGGGGGGAAACCCUGAAGGAGCGACGCCGCGUGGGGGGAUGAAUGGCUUCGGCCCGUAAACCCCUGUCAUUUGCGAUCAAACCUUGCGAUCUAACAAUCGUAAGCUGAUAGUAGCGAAAGAGGAAGGGACGGCUAACUCUGUGCCAGCAG